AGAAUCCGAGCUCGAACAGACUGUGCUCUCCACCUCGUGUCACUCAGCUCCAGUUGUUACUUUCAGGAUCUGUAACCAUGCUCUGCACUCAGUUCUCUCUGCAAAUGACCACUCCUUGCUUUCCACGGCUGUGGAGCUCGGGACAGAGGAGUAGCUUCAACACCAGAGUGGUGGGAACACAGGACAUCUGGUCAUUGUCCUACGGUAUUGUGCCGCUGAGACUCUUGUCUACGGGUCUGGAAUAAGAGUCCUUUUCCUGGCUUUCUUGGUCAUUAGCACUUACGGAGAAUAGAAAUGUAUGAAGAGGAAUCCACUGUCAUUAAGGAUUGAAUAGAAAAUGAAAACCUUGAUGAUCAUGCGGGCCAGUACCCCUCCAGCUAAUGCUCAUUUACUUGAAAAUAAUCACUAUCAAUGGCCCAACACAGAGCUCACUGAAAAUACUCCGUCCACAUAACAAAUGUGUACAUUCAACUGUGCAAGCGGGACUCAACAGAUCGAGUAGCAAAAGGAGUUUGGAGAAGAGGACUUAGCCACUCGCAUUUUAGAAUUAUCAGCUUGUAGACUCGUAAUGUUGCUGAGAUGGUUAAAGAAGAGGGACAAGAGAUUCAGAAGGGAAGAAGAUGGAAAAACAGCUCACUUGGUAUGUUUUUAUUGAUGAAACAAGAUGUACUUUAACUCUGACCUUAAGUUGACUUUGGCUUUUCAAAUAUACAAAGCAAAAGGCAGAAGUAUCUGAUAAAGUGACGUGUGGAUUUUGUCACAAUGUGGCAUGAGGCGACGCUGCUGAGACUAGUGACGUUCAGCAAAGACCACUGACCGAGUAGAUGCAGACCGAGUUAAUUCAUCUUGUUAUACAAUUGACCUAGCACCACGCUAUGCACAUCCUUGGAUGGUACUCUGCAUCUGCUCAAAGUUAAAUUGUAAUCGCGCUCUCAUACACUGUUUUGACACAGCAGGUGACAUGAUGUAUGAGAAGAGCCAGCCUCCUGAUAAUGAUCAGCCCACCACCUACUAAUAACUGUCAAUUAGAACUCUCAAAAGGCUAGCACAAGGCUGACCAGCCACAGGGCUUUACCCACACAUAAAACAGACACUUAUCACACAGGGCUUGUGCACAGAAGAACAAAGAUCAAAUCAAGACAGAAAUCCUUGCCAUAAAUGGACAUUGUUGCCAAACAAACAGCUUUGAUCCAUACCUCUCAGACUGUUUCUGAUUACUUCAUACUCUCUCCGGUUGCCUGCUCUAUUCCUUUAUUUCAAGCACUGUCAAAAAGAAGCCAUUGAUCACAUCAGCUUCCUCCCACCAGUCCUGACGUUCAGAGUCUUCAACCUCACUGUCUCAUCAGCCACAAACUUCAUGGCCCGUUAAGUUCUGAGAGUCUUCAUGAUAGCAUCUUUUCCACAGAGAAUUUCACUCAGUCAAGAUGCCUCAGACACAUCUUCCCAGCCUGAUAAGACACUGGGACAUCUCCCAGGAAGCGGGGGUUACUGUCCAAACUUAAAAUAUAUACCUGAGUGGAUCAGGUCCACAAAAUUGUCAUACUGAAUUUGGCUCUUCAUUAAUAUCCUAAUUAAAUCAUCUUAAGCAAUUUUUAUGUUCUUGUUAACAAAUACUAACCAGGCAAGGUUAAGUUCAACUGCCUCUAACCACACCCAUGUUCAAGAAGGAGAGUGAACACACACUAAAACCAGCUUAGACCAUCACAGUUUAGGAGUUUCUAAGCCUUAAUUUACAAGACUGGGUAUUAUUCAAAUGACUAACUUCUAGGGUUUUUUUUUUUUCCCCUCAUCUCUUCAACCACAGCAUUUUCUACUGGCUCAGUAACUCUGUGCCACUUGAAAUAUCCUAGGAAAUGUAGGAACAUAGGCACGCUUGUGCCCGUUGCUUCGUGUGUGUGUGUGUGUGUGUGUGUGUGUGUGUGUGUGUGUUCCCUCUGAAACCAGAGCCUGUCCCUAUUAGAAGGAGAGCCUGCUGCAGCUGCAGUCACAAGGUGCCCACAAGGGACGAGGCAAGUGUGGGAGUGCACACUAUGGCUCAGGGACUAGAAUAACAUAUGUGCAAAAAACCUGAACAUCAUUAACAGCCUAAGAUCAGCUCAAAUUUUAUGCUGAAAAUAUUAUACACAUCAUUCUUAGAAAAGUAAAGUUAAUAUCUUUUCUCAUCUCUAUUGAGAAAAUCCAUGCUUCUCUUGUUCUUUAGUAUACUUCAGUUCUAGCUCAUAAAACACAAUGGAUACUGCAUAAAUGAUUACUAAAUAAUUAAUGAGUCCCUUGGGACUUACUACAUGUCCCACCUUAUUUCCAGUACCCCACACAUAUUACUUGAGAAGUUAUUACCUGAUUUUAUCACUUCAUUAAGGAAAAAUUCGUUUAAGAAGUCAUAUAAAGCAGAUAAAUUUGUUUAAUAAUAUUAAAAAUAUAAAAUUUCUUAUGUGAAAAUCAUUAGAAUAAAUGUAUUAUUUGGGGACAGUGUAUGUUAAACUAAAAAUUCUCUGAGAAUUUUCAUUACUUAGAAACUCAGAAAAUACUCUGAGGCACCAUUAGCUGUUACUCUAAGCCUGCUAUCUUGACUCUAAUUUCUCCACACGAGGAUGACUAAAGGCCUACCUAUCCUUCAUUAAUUCCAUGCCCAGAUUACAUACAGAUGCUAAGAGAUAUCAAUUGUGGGCUGUCUCUCUUGUCUUUGGAGGGCACCUUUCCAGUGUCUAAGAAGGUGCCUAUGAAUGCUAACCUACAUUAACAAAACAACAGGAACAGCAGCCAAAGAUAAAAUCUUGGAGUCAACCAGGAAAUGAAACUUUUAUUUACGUAAUUAAGCCUACUUUGUACCAAAAACUUUUGAAUAAAUUUCAACAUAGAACAGAAA